UACCGCCAGAAAAUUACGGGCGAAAGCCUAAAACUCAAAAGACUUGACGGUGUUUCAAUCUACCUAGAGGAGCCUGUUCCAUAAUCGACAACCCACGAUAUACCUAACCACCCUUAGACCCCCCAGCCUAUAUACCGCCGUCGUAAGCUUACCUUUAAAAGAACUUAAGUUAGCCCAAGAGUAAUAUACUAAUAAGUCAGGUCAAGGUGUAGCUUAUAGGGUGGAGGAGAUGGGCUACAUUAUUUAAUAUAAAUAUACGAACUCUCAAUAUACCCUGAAAAAGAAAAUGAAGGCGGAUUUAGCAGUAAUUUAAGCAAGAAUACUUAAAUUAA
rnacentral:rRNA from 1 species